rnacentral:rRNA from 1 species
AGUUUGAUCAUGGCUCAGAUUGAACGCUGGCGGCAUGCCUUACACAUGCAAGUCGAACGGCAGCACGGGGGGCAACCCUGGUGGCGAGUGGCGAACGGGUGAGUAACAUAUCGGAACAUACCCUAGAGUGGGGGAUAACGUAGCGAAAGUUACGCUAAUACCGCAUACGAUCUAAGGAUGAAAGUGGGGGAUCUUCGGACCUCAUGCUCAUGGAGUGGCCGAUAUCUGAUUAGCUAGUUGGUGAGGUAAAGGCUCACCAAGGCGACGAUCAGUAGCUGGUUUGAGAGAACGACCAGCCACACUGGAACUGAGACACGGUCCAGACUCCUACGGGAGGCAGCAGUGGGGAAUUUUGGACAAUGGGGGCAACCCUGAUCCAGCAAUGCCGCGUGAGUGAAGAAGGCCUUCGGGUUGUAAAGCUCUUUUGUCAGGGAAGAAACGGUGAGUUCUAAUACAGCUUGCUAAUGACGGUACCUGAAGAAUAAGCACCGGCUAACUACGUG